rnacentral:tRNA from 1 species
GGUGGUUAUAACUCAGUUGGUAGAGUGUCAGAUUGUGAUUCUGCAGGUCACGGGUUCAAGUCCCGUUAAUCACC